GACGAACCGUCCAAACGUUAUUCGGAAUCACUGGGCUUACAGAGUUCGUAGGCGGUCUGGAAAGUUGGGUGUGAAAUCCCUCGGCUCAACCGAGGAACUGCGCUUGAAACUACCAGACUCGAGGGAGAUAGAGGAAAGCGGAACUGAUGGUGGAGCGGUGAAAUGCGUUGAUAUCAUCAGGAACACCGGUGGCGAAGGCGGCUUUCUGGGUCGUUACCCUGACGCUGAGGAACGGAAAGCCAGGG
rnacentral:rRNA from 1 species